rnacentral:tRNA from 1 species
UCUAAAAUGGCAGAUUAGUGCAAUAGAUUUAAAUUCUAUAUAUAUAAUUGUAAUUAUUUUUAGAA